rnacentral:rRNA from 1 species
GACGAACCGAGCGAACGUUGUUCGGAAUCACUGGGCUUAAAGGGCGCGUAGGCGGGUGCUCAAGUCUGUGGUGAAAUCCUCCGGCUCAACCGGAGAACUGCCAUGGAUACUGGGUGUCUUGAGGGUGGUAGGGUAUGCGGAACUAUCGGUGGAGCGGUGAAAUGCGUUGAUAUCGAUAGGAACUCCGGUGGCGAAGGCGGGUCUCUGGGCCGAUACUGACGCUGAGGAGCGAAAGCGUGGGGAGCGAACAGG